GCAGCCCUCCAUCGGCCUCAACCAGCAGCUGCAGAAAAUGGGUAUGGCAGCGGGUGUUUGGCCCGUUUUGGCCGUCUUCCCGAGCCCGGAUGCUCGGCCCGCCUUGAGGAAAGUCGAUCCCCGCGUCGUCCUCAUCGUUUUGGUCCGCUCGGCUCGCUAAUCCGGUGAGUUUAUCUCACUAAACCUCGCUUAGAGGUUAAUUAUGCUCAUGGAGGUUUAGUUUAUGUUAAGUAUUAUUAGGUUGUUAGUUUAGGUUAUUUAAGAGUAGAUUAGAUUAAGGUGGUGUUUUAAUUUAAAGUGUGCUUAAUUAAGGGUAAGUAGGUUUAUUUAAAAUAAACCUUGAUUUGACAUAAAUGAAUUUACUUUUGAUUUAUUUAAAUGUCCCGAAAUUAUUAAAUAAUUUAAUAAUAUAUUAUUAUUCGAAAUUAUUAAAAUAUUAUUAUUUAAUUAUUUUCGGAAUAAAUUUAAUUAUUUAUUAAAUUCCGAAAAUUUUGGCAGAACCCUAAAUUCUCAGAAUUUCGUGCCGGUUGCUGCUGUGUAGUCAGUUUUUGAAAUUGAUGAUUGGAUAUUAUAAAUUGAGUGUGGAUCGUGAAAUAUACGGAUAUUAUUAUUUAAUUAAUUUUCGGAAUAAAUUUAAUUAUUUAAUAAAUUUUGAAAAUUAUUUUGGAACCUUAUUUUCUUAGAAUUCCGUGCUGAUCGCUGCUGUGCAUUUAGAAUUUGAAAUUGAUGAAUGGAUGUGGCAAAUUGAGUGUUGAUUGUGGUAAAUAAGGAUUUUAUUCAUAAAAACCAAAGUGUUGGGUUUUGAUGCAAAAAUUGGAUUUUAAUGAUUAUAUUAAAUAGUGGGGUUUGAAAAAGUGAGAUAUUGGCUUUUUGAUUUGAAAUUAGCGUGUCCCCACACACGUGAGUAAUUUUUGGAAUGUUUUUAAUAUGAAGAAAAAUGGCCGGGAUCACUAUUUUAAGUGGAAGCAUUGAGUGAAAUAUAAAGUGUCCUUGGGCCGAGUAUGCUUUGGCUGUGUGAUAACUAAGAGGAAUCGUCCUGGGCUGUUGAGCCGGACUUGCCCCUAUAUGGGAUGCCCACGCGGUGGAUGCGGGUCGCAGUUGAUUCUGGGCCCAUGCUCUUUCGGGAACGCCGUCGAUGUACUGACGAAACCGCGCUCCAAGGGGGGAGGCGAUGCCUGGCUAUAUGCCAGUAGAUAGCCGAACUGCGAGUAGGCUAUGCCCUUGUGUGGCAGUGAAUAACAAUUGGAAUACAUGUUCAGUGUUAUUGAUGUGUCGGAUUAUGGGACGGAAUUGUGUGGCAUGGAAUGGGACUUGUCAUAACGAUUUAGUCUUAUAAUCAGGACCCCCGCGGUUGUUGGUUAUAUGAAAGUGAAUAUGUUCCGGUUGUUUAAGUUCCUCUUACUAUCUGUGAGUGAGUGAUUUGAUUUGUGCUAACCUGUAGGAAGGAACUGAGGCAAGGUAAGUCUUCUGUAUGAUGUGGCUAGGCCACUCGGGGUGUAUUUUCUUUCUAAUAGGGGUUUAGGGGGUUGAACUUGCUGAGACAUCGUCUCAUCCCGGUUGUGGGAUUAAAAUUUCAGGUCCUUGGUGGACAGAGCGACCAUAUAGCUUUGGUUGGCAUUGAAGAGUUGCAAAGGUGAAG
rnacentral:lncRNA from 1 species